AGCUAGACCUGCAGGGCUGCUGGAAAAUUCACAGUCCUGUCUUGGGGAAAAGUUUGGGCUUCCUGGACGUCGCGGAGAACUCCCGCUGCCCAAGACCCUUCGCUUUACCCCAGCUAAGUAGAUGUGCUCUAGAAAAAAAAACAAUAAAGAUACGCAUCAGCUACCCUAGGGUAACAAAGCAAAGUCGGAGAAGAAGUGAACGCGACGUGCAAGUUGUCUGUUUGGAAGAAGGUUGUGGCGGCUAGGCUCUUCCGCAGCCAGGAGAAAAGUGAAGAAGGAGAUCGACUUCAAAGUCAGGGAACCGGAGACUUCUUGGCCACUCGCUGCCCCAGCCUCUAACCCGGACAGAGCCUUCGGUGGGAGCCCGAGCCCCAGGAGAAGAAAGCUCACCGUAUUCUCGUUGGAUCUUCGCAUCAAUCGUAUGAACUACAUCCCAUCCUCGUUUUACAAAUGAGGAAGAUGCAAUUCAAAGAAUCUGAAGUGAUUUGACCAAGGUCACACAAAGAAUUACUCAAGUAUAAUUAAUCCUGCGGCGUCAGAAAGCCUGGAUCCUUGUCUCCGCUUCCAGCACAGGGCUGUCUCCUCUAUCGGCAGGUGGAUGCUGGAAGCUUGGGCGAAGAUGAAGGAAGGACUUGACGAAUCGGAGAAGAGGACUCUUUCGACCCGGGGAGCACACCAGAACACACCGACGAAACUCCGAUGCCUCCUCCCUUGGCAUGGGGAUCGGGGGCAGGGGCGGGUGGAGAGAAAUUAGGAAAUAGACUGAGCACCAAGUCAGUAGAAAUCCCCUCCUGUUUCUGCCGUGCAGUGGCAAAAGUUAACAGGAUUUGGAGUUAACGUUCCUGGCUCGGACUGGGGCUCUGCCAUUAACAGGCUAAUUAACAAGUGAUGUCACUUCUCAAAUGGGGAUAAUGAUCCCUUCACAGCCAAUUUCAGCAGGUUGUUUGUGAGGAUUAAAAUAAGUAUAAAGCACUUUGUAAAACAUAAGGUACUACAUUGGCGCCAGUUUUUAUUAUGGGAGGCAGCGCACUGAAGUAAAAACAACUCUCAUUUGAGCAGUAGAGAGAAGACAAAGGUUCGAAUUCCACCAAUGACACUGAGUCCUUGAGCGAUUCAUUUCCCACUAUGAAAUGAUUUCUAAGAGCCCUCUCAGUUCUAACAUUCUAUGACUCCAAACACUUUUACUAUAUUAGUCAUAAUAUCCGACAUUUAUGUAAUGCUUAAAUAUAUGUAAAACACUUCA